GCGCUAAGAAGUUUGGCCCGUAAGAACUACGUGGUAGCUUGAACCCCUAUAAAUAGGGUACGUAGGCCUCUUGUGCUGAUUAUCUGAUUCUUGCUGAGAAACUCUUGAGAACACUUUCUCUCUUUAUCUCGAGGAUCAAACACAAGAUCAGCUACAUCAUCCAUCACUUCCCGUCCCGUGUUCUUCGCUGUUCCUUCCGGAAAUCACUCAGGUACCCACAUCUGUUGUUAACCAAUUUCUCCCGUUAACAAUNNNNNNNNNNNNNNNNNNNNNNNNNNNNNNNNNNNNNNNNNNNNNNNNNNNNNNNNNNNNNNNNNNNNNNNNNNNNNNNNNNNNNNNNNNNNNNNNNNNNNNNNNNNNNNNNNNNNNNNNNNNNNNNNNNNNNNNNNNNNNNNNNNNNNNNNNNNNNNNNNNNNNNNNNNNNNNNNNNNNNNNNNNNNNNNNNNNNNNNNNNNNNNNNNNNNNNNNNNNNNNNNNNNNNNNNNNNNNNNNNNNNNNNNNNNNNNNNNNNNNNNNNNNNGAAGGCCCCCCCCCCCCGGUUCCCGUCGGUCGCCCAUUUGGUCUGCUGCCAGAAGUACGAGUGUCUCGACCGUCUAGGAAGAAGACUAACUGAGCAUGAUCUAAGGCUCAGGUUGGAGGCCAAGCAGAUGGAAAGAAUGGAGAGAGAGCACCAGCGUCGAGAGGAGCGGCCCCCUCCCAUUAUGACGAGAGGGAGCGGUCACUCCACUCAAGGACCCAUAGGAAAAGAUCCCCUCCUCAUCCUUCCCGCCAACAAUCUAGGCUGCGGAACAAUGAGGACGAGGGAGAAUCCCAGGUCCAUGACCUUAGGAGGAGUCAUCCACCUCCGUCUCUCCACGGCGAGAAUAAUGGCCAUUAGGGGUGUGCAUGGUGCGGUUUGGUGCGGUUCCAGACAUUAACCGUAACCAAACCGUUAAAUGCGGUUCGGUUCGGUUAAUUAUCAUUAACCGUAACCACACCAAUUAAAACGGUUUUUCGGUUGCGGUUAACCAUUAGUCGGUUGCGGUUUUUUUUCGGUUUUUCUACUUUUGUCCAUAAUAAUUUUUUUUUAAAAAAAAUAUAAAUUUUUCAUAAACAUGUAUAGUAUGUUCGGUUACUCAUGUUUCCAUAUAUGAGGAUAUAGGAAACAUUACAUACUUUCAUCUAAAAAAACUUAAUAUACAAUAAAAACUAAAACAUACAUAUUUCAACAAGAAAUUAGAUGAUGUCAAGUCAAUAUAAUUAUCCAAAAUUAACUAAUCAUAAAAUUCAAAUCAAAAGUCUUCAACAGGUAUAUAAAUAAAAAGAGUAGAAUAGGUUUCAUAAUAAAAUUUGAUUAGCAGAUUAACAACAUAAAUAUUUCUGCUCUGUGGCAAACUACAGUAGUCCUAAUCUUCGAGUAAGCGCUUCUCCAAAUAUUUGGGUGCCCGUUCACUUAUUUAAGUGACUCAACAAGUGAGUGUCUCUGGACAGGAAGCCUCAAUAUAGAAUAAGAUGUGAAGUGUAAAAAUGAUUGAGGUGCUUUACUACUAUUAUAUAUAUAUAUAUAUAUAUAUAUAUAUAUAUAUAUAUAUAUAUAUAUAUAUUUAAAUAAUANNNNNNNNNNNNNNNNNNNNNNNNNNNNNNNNNNNNNNNNNNNNNNNNNNNNNNNNNNNNNNNNNNNNNNNNNNNNNNNNNNNNNNNNNNNNNNNNNNNNNNNNNNNNNNNNNNNNNNNNNNNNNNNNNNNNNNNNNNNNNNNNNNNNNNNNNNNNNNNNNNNNNNNNNNNNNNNNNNNNNNNAUAUAUCUAAUCUGAUUAUUAAUUCUUUUAACGCUUAAUCACAUAAUAAGAUAAUUUAAUUUAAUAUUUUCUGGAUAUCUUAUUAUUCUUAUAUUAAAAUGAAAUGCGAGCAUAAUAAAUUUAAAUUAAAACGUAUAACAUUUUACUAAAAAAUAUGGUUUACUAAUAACUAGCCUUAAACCCGUGCAAAGCACGGGCGGCUAUAUAAUUUAAACUAAUUAUUAAUUAUUAUAUAAUAUAUAUAUAUAUAUAUAUAUAUAUUAAUAAUAGUAUAUAUAUUAAUAAUAUAUAUAUAUAUUUCGGUUUGGUUAAUUUCGGUGUGGUUUUAGCAUAAAAUCGAAAAUAAAACCGCACCAUUAAUUUCGGUUUUUUAUUUCGGUUAUUUUCGGUUUGGUUUUUCUCGAUGUGGUUUUUCGGUUUUUUCAGGUUUUUUUUGCGGUUUCGGUUUUUUCUGCUCACCCCUAAUGGCCAUGAUGAGGACGAACGACUUGGAAAUUUGAAUGUGCAUGACCUCAGGAGGAUAUUAAACCGCAUGGAGGAGAAAAGAGGUUCCCCCAGGCUGUUGUUGCCCGCUCUCCCUUUACUAGGGCCAUCCUGGAGUCUCCACCGCCUGUAAACAUGAGGCAUCACCCCGAACUCAUCUACAAUGGGGAGGAUGACCCGACCUCAUACUACAUGCGGUUCAACAUGGAGAUGGAUGUCUACCAAAUCCCCAGCCUCAUGCACUGCAGGCUCUUCGCUGCCUCACUUCGAGGGCGCGCCCAACUAUGGUUUUCUAAGCUAGCUCCAGGGAUAAUUAGCUCUUAGGAAUCGAUGGGGGACCUGUUUAUCCGGCAGUUCCAGUCUUCCUUGACCUACGCACCUCCUGUGGCCACCUUAGCCAACAUCAAACAGAGAAGCAGGGAAACCCUCCAUGACUACUUCAAGAGAUUCAACGCUGAGGUCCCUUAUGUGAGGGGGGCCACUGAUGAAGCUGUAAAGAAUUUCCUAAUCGCUGGGUUGAGGAGAGGCUCCGACUUCUGGAAAGAUAUUCAGGCCCAUGAACCCUCCACUCUCCAAGAUCUCUAUCAGCAGGCUGAACCAUUUAAGAUAGUGGAGAGGUCCAUGGCCGAGCUAGACAAUNAAAGGAGAAGACCCCCCCCAGGAACCCUACUGGGACUCAGGGGAGAGGUCAGAAUCAAUUCACCCCGUUGGUGGCCUCGAUAGAGCACAUUUAUGCCAUCAACGCUGAUAAAGGGUUCUUCAAGAAGCCUGCCCCGAUGAGUAACUGGGCAAAGAAGGAUAGGACCAAGUACUGUGCGUUCCAUGAGCAGAAUGGUCAUGAUACCGCGGAUUGUCAGCAGCUGAAACAACAAAUUGAGGAGCUCAUCAAAAAUGGGAGGCUCACCGAGUGGGUGAAGACGCAAAAGAAGAGUUAUAAUAAUGUGCCUCCGUCCCCUCAAGAUAAUGAUAAUGAGACCACCAACACUGAGAAGGUGCCGAGAGCAGGGAGCAUUCACAUGAUCAUUCAGAGUAACCUAACCCUUUCUUCCAGUUUCCACUUUCCAAGAUAUUCUGAGUAGUCUUCCCUGAGUUAGUCCAAGUUCUGAUUAUCUCUUUUUCCUUAACUAGUUCCGAUUCAAGAGAAGCAUUUCUCUUUAAAAGUUCAUUUUUAACAAGGAUACAGUCAUCUCUCUCCUUCUGAAUUUCUAGCAUCUGAACUAGUUCCUUUUCAAGAUAGUCAUUUCUUUUCUUGACAUCUAAGAUCUCAGAUUUUAGUCUUUCAUUUUCUAAAGUCUGAUCUCUAUAACUAACAUGCAGAGUUUUAAGAAAUAGUCUUAACUCAGUUAUAUCUUCAGUAUCAAAAGCAAGAGUGGAAUGAGGUACCUUAGUUUCAACAGUCUCAGUGCUGUUGUCCAUGUUUGCCAUCAAGGCAUAGUCAACAAUGUGCAUAGGGUACUUGUCGAUAAUGGGAGCGCAGCAAAUAUCCUGUCCUACGACGCCUUCACUAAGAUGGGAUUCACGGACAAGGACUUGAACGUGACCCUCAGUGCCUUGUACGGAUUCUGUGGGAGCCCUAUCGACGUGAGAGGAUCCAUCAACCUCCUCGUUACCCUCGGGGAAGGCCCUCUCUCCACAACCCAGAUGGCUGAAUGGUUAAUCAUAAACCAAUACUCAGCCUUUAAUGCUGUCAUCGGUCGCCCCAUCUUGAAAGACAUGAGGAUAGUCACCUCCAUCUACCACAUGUCCAUGAAAUUCCCAACCCCGAAUGGCGUGGGCUGCGUCAAGGGGUGCCAAUAUGACUCUCGGGAUUGCUACAACAAGGCAAUCCGCUUAGCCGAAAGGAGAAAUCGUCUCGAGACUACCGGGGACGUGCAGGGUGAUAAAACAGUGAAAGGGGGAGGCCUAGGCUUCACCUGUAACAUGAUCAGUAUAGAAGAAAUUCCUGAGGAGUACUUUGAGGAUUGGGGGCUCAUAGUAGAGCCCCACCCAAGAGCACUCACUAUGGGCCCUACUUUGCCUGUCAUGACAUUGAUCGAGGGUAUUGUAGAAGAGGCAAGCGAUGAUGAGGAGGAGAGCCCUGAACAGUUGGCGGCCCGAGCUCGCAAAGGGAAAUGGACUAUGAAGGAGACUUCGACUGUCGUCGAUCUCCCCAAUGGGAUAACCAAGGAAGUCACUGUCACCACCGAAAAGCUUGUUACGCCAACCAGAGGCCUCACAUUUGAAAUUGAAGAGCCUGCUACUAAGGAGCCCCUCGUUGAAGAAAUUGUUGAGCCCAGCGCCAAAACAGCUGACGAAGACCUUGACCCCCGGAUGCUAGAAACGGUGGAAAGGGCGGGCACAACAGAGGAUACGGUGUCAAUAUUGGCAGACGCUACAGAUCCGUCCAAGGUCCUCAAAAUUGACUCCAAUCUUGAACCUGAGAUCAGGGGUCCUCUUGUAGAAUUCUUCAAGGCUAAUCUGGAUGUCUUUGCCUGGUCCCACUCCGAUAUGGUGGGAAUUGAUCCUAAAGUGAUGUGCCACAAACUCAAUGUUGACCCCAAUAAAAAGGGGUGUUAGGCCGAAUAAACUCACUAUAUAAGAUAAUAUAGUGAACACAAUCCAAGACAAACACAAGUAGAAGAGAAUAAAUCAAUAAACUCUUAUUCACAAAUCACAGUAGCUUACAAAUAAUCUCUUAGUGAUUUAUAUAUUAUCACUAAGAGCUGCUAGGUUACACGAAUGAUAUUCAAUUGAUAACUCAUCUAGAGUAAACCCUAAGCUGUGUUUAUAUACACAGUUACAUGAUAUCUACUGAUUGAUUUAUAAUUAUCUGCUUCCUAAAAUAAUCUAAUCAGUAGCUAUCCUUCUGCUGUCCUGAUCUGUACAAUCUCUCUUGAUCUUUAUCUUCCUUACUUAGUCAGAUAUGCUCCUGAAAAUCAGCCGCCUGCAAACUCUGAUCAUCACUUAAACUCUGAUCCAGCUGUCAGUCGUUAAACUCUGAUUUCCAACUAAACUCUGAUAUUUGCUUCUGCACACUAAACAAGUUAGAUACCUGUGACAUCAUCAAAUAUGUAACAUCAUCAAUAUCCACCAUGGCAUCAUCAGAAGGUGCAGCUACAGUGGUUUGAACAGGACUAACCACUUCAUCAUCAGAAUCAGUGGAAUUAUCCUGUAAUGAAUCCUCGCCUUCAGAUUGAGCAUUGUUGUCAGAGGAUGUUUCUGCAUCUUCCACUAUCACCUCUUCUUCAACUGGAGAAGUUUGAGCCUCAGGAACAUUGUCUUGACUAAGUGGCGCAGUAACUUGCUCAGUUUGUUCUUCAGGGACCUCCUCAGCAACCUCAGGAACAACAACAUUCUGAACAAGCGUUGUUUAGAAAUUCUUGCAUUGCCUCCGGAAGGACCACAUGUUCAUUAUUGGUGUAGUUCUGAUGGCUCUCCAGCAUAGAGAUUACUCUUGUGGUCAUGAAAGAGCAGAUGACAUUGUCUAUAUUUGGAUAGACAGCUCUUUCAGCAGGGGACAUCAUCUGAUUCAGCACUAUCUGGAAGAACCGAGGGUAGAGAAGUACAUUUCUGUUCUUCCUUAGAGAGUCCUGAAAAGCUCCCAUUAUCAGAUGCCCCAGAUUAAUCCUUGUAUUCUGUGCUAUUGCAAUCCCAAUUUCCUGGUUGAAAGUAGUGAUUCCAUGGAACCCUCCAGUCUUUGGUGCAAAUACAUGAGAAAUGGAAUUAAAGAAGAAAUUCCAUUCCCGAGGUAAGUGCUUGACAUACAUCUUUGUUGGAAGAUCACCAGUUGGCUCCCUUUGGCAGUGGAUAGUAAAGAAGAAAUUAGUCCUUUUAGCUCUAUCAGGAUCUGCUUCAAAGUCCUCUGUUGGUAAUUGGAGUGCAUUGUUCAGGGUGUGUUCAGUGAUAAUGAGUGUUCGUCCCUGAAUGACACACUUGAGUCCAAAUACCUGUCCUUCAUUUACAACAGAAACAGAAGACAGAAAAUCUCGAAGUAGAGACUUGUUAAGAUAAACUGACUCUGUCAUAGCAAAUAGUGCAAAUGAAAAUUCUGACAUAUAUCGAACCCAGCGUCGAUAAUUCGCUUGCGUAAUUAAGUUAUUAUUCUCAACAAUUGUGAAAUUUGUUUUCGGAAUAUCAAAAUUUAGUGCAAAUGAAAAUUCUGACAUAUAUCGAACCCAGCGUCGAUAAUUCGCUUGCGUAAUUAAGUUAUUAUUCUCAACAAUUGUGAAAUUUGUUUUCGGAAUAUCAAAAUUUGCAGCCAUUUUUUAAUUAGAAUUAAAAAUGAUUAUAAAUUUCGUUUCACGAAUAAUUACGAACAAAUUUUCACUUAUGUUACGAAAAUAAUUAAUUAAUAACGCUCCGUAAAACCCUAAUUCCAAGAAUUUCAGAUUUCGAUGAAAUUCAAGUAUGUUGUUCCUCUCGAAAUUCUAAGAAUUAUGGGAUCGGCUUCGCAAAUUAUUGACACUAACAUCACGUAUAAAUUCGUCCUAGAAGGUGAAAAGGUUCGAAAAACCCUCUCGAAAAACCGUAAUGGAUCGUGAAAAGGCUUAUAUGAAUGUGAAGUGCUCGACAAGGGGAUCCUAAAUCGGGUCUCAGAAUUCCAAACGGACAAGAUCUCGACGGUGUUUUGUGGAUUUAAAAAGCUCGAGGUCGAGAGAUUUUGAAAUAUGGUGGCUGCUAUGUGUGUAUCCUGUGUAUAUGUAAACUGGUGAAUAAACGAAACGUGCUAAGUCAUGUUUGUAUAUAUGCACAGAUAGGUGGAGGCGCAAGUUGGUUAAAGACCAACUUGCCCCUCAUAGUGUACGCAGUACACAGCCACCAAGCGCAAGGAAUGAAAAGACAUAGUUGCCCUCCAUAGUGAACACUGUGGAGACGCAACUUUGGACACUUAGAAAAAGAUCUAAGUUGUCAAAGGCAUACAUACACUCGUACACGCCCGAGGCGCAACAUUUGACCAAGUCAAAUGUUGCGCUAAGGUGUUCAUACAGUGCGUACUUGGGAGAAAUGAACUCAAUCUUAACACAUAUACAUACAGUAUUGACGAGGGGCGCAACUUUUGACUUAGUCAAACGUUGCGCCUGUGAUCAAUUACCGUUUGUACACGUACUUAGAAGUUUUUGGAACAAAAUUCUCCCAAAAGAAAAUUAUAUCAAUUUAUCAAAUAUAUUUUGAUUAAGUUCAAAAUAAUCAAACAAAUUAAUAUCACAAUUCUUUUAAAUAAAUUUUAACUAAACUAAGAGUUUAGUCAACAAAUAUUUAAAAAUUAUGCUGCAAUUAUUUUAAUUAAUAUUUAAUUAAUGGACAACUUAAAAUAAUUUGAAUUGCUUCAAAUCCAUUAAUCAAACAUAAUUAAAAUAUGAAUUAAAUAACCACUAAUAUUCAUUAAUUGAAUAUAAGCACUUAAUUAAUUCAAGAAAAUUAAUUCUAAAUAUCUACCAUUUAGCAAAUACUCACAUAAUCACAUAAACUCAUGCAAAUCAUAUAAAUCAUGGCAAAUAAUUAAAACUGAUUAUUAGAUAAAUAUGUAAAAUACUGGAUGCUCUAUGUAAAUUCACAAGUCCUGAAAAUGUGAGGUUGAUGUGACUUCUGUUCCUUCAUCAUCAUCAAUGUCUUCAAGAAAAACACUCAGAGUAUGUGAAGUGAACAUUUUAAAAACUUGUGAACUUACGAACAAAUUGCAGUUAUUUCUUGUCUAAUUAAUUAGACAUAUUUAACAUCCCAAGUUCACCAACCAGUCUAGAGAAAGUGGAUUCGUCUAGUGGUUUAGUGAAGAUGUCUGCAAUUUGUUGAUCAGUAGGUACAAAGUGUAACUCUACUGUUCCAUUCAUGACAUGCUCGCGAAGGAAAUGAUACCUGAUAUCAAUAUGCUUUGUCCUGGUGUGUUGAACAGGAUUGUUGGCAAUGGCAAUGGCACUCGUGUUAUCACACAGAAUCGGAAUUUUAUCCAACAUGAGUCCAUAAUCUUGUAGUUGAUUCCUCAUCCACAAGAUUUGAGCACAGCAACUUCCAGCAGCUAUGUAUUCAGCUUCCGCUGUAGACGUAGACAGGGAGUGUUGCUUCUUGCUAUACCAAGACACCAACCUUCGUCCAAGAAACUGACAGCUUCCUGAAGUACUUUUCCUAUCAAUCUUACAUCCUGCAAAGUCAGAAUCUGUAUAAGACUCUUUACCAAGAAACUGACAGCUUCCUGGAGUACUUUUCCUAUCAAUCUUACAUCCUGCAAAGUCAGAAUCUGUAUAGCCAAUCAAAUCAAAACCUGUAUCUUUAGGGUACCAAAUCCCUAGAUUGGGGGUUCCCUUAAGAUACCUAAAAAUACGCUUAACAGCUAUAAGAUGUGACUCUUUAGGAUCAGCCUGGAAUCUAGCACAUAAACAAGUUGCGAACAUGAUAUCUGGUCUACUAGCAGUUAAGUAUAAGAGAGAGCCAAUCAUACCUCGAUACUUCGUGAUGUCAACUGACUUACCAGAUUUGUCCUGAUCAAGUUUGACAGCAGUUGGCAUAGGGGUUUUGGCAGGAGAUGCUUCUUCCAUUCCAUAUUUCUUCAGAAGAUCCUUGAUGUAUUUAGAUUGGCAGAUAAAAAUACCGUCAGGCUUCUGAAUAACUUGAAGUCCUAGAAAGAAGGACAAUUCUCCCAUCAUGCUCAUCUCAUACUUGUUCUGCAUUAGCUUAGCAAAUCUCUCGCACAAAAGAUCAUUAGUAGAACCAAAUAUAAUGUCAUCGACAUAUACUUGCACAAGAAUUAUAUCAUCCUUAUGCUUUUUAUGGAAAAGAGUUUUAUCGAUGAUACCUCUGGUGAAACCAUUUUCAAGUAAGAACUUGGAAAGAGUGUCAUACCAGGUUCGAGGGGCUUGCUUCAGGCCAUAGAGUGCUUUGAAGAGAAAGUAUACGAAGUCUUCAAAUUCUUUGUCUUCAAACCCAGGGGGUUGUUCAACAUAGACUUCCUCUUCCAGAUCACCAUUCAGGAAUGCACUUUUCACAUCCAUCUGAUAUACUUUGAAGUUGGAGUGUGCAGCAAAUGCUAAGAACAUCCUGAUUGCUUCAAGCCUAGCAACUGGAGCAUAGGUUUCAUCAUAAUCAAUUCCUUCUUCUUGUGAAUAACCCUUUGCAACCAGUCUUGCCUUAUUCCUCGUAACAAUACCAUCUUCAUCCAGUUUGUUUCUAAAAACCCAUCUAGUGCCAACUAUAGAUUUUCCUUCAUGUCUUGGCACCAGCUUCCAAACUUUCUGCCUUUCGAAUUGAUUGAGUUCUUCCUGCAUUGAAGAUACCCAAUCUGGAUCACUUAGAGCCUCUUCAACUUUCUUUGGUUCUGUCUGAGACAAAAAUCCAGCAAAGUUGCAUUCAUUCUGAGUUGCUCUUCUAGUCUGCACUCCUGUGUCUGGAUCACCAAUGAUUUGUUCAACAGGAUGGUCUCUACUCCAUACCCUUUGUCUUGGCAGAUUCAAUCUUGAUGAUUCAUCAUAAUCAUAGUUGUGUUGAGUGUAAUGACUAGUAGAUCCACUUUGACUUNNNNNNNNNNNNNNNNNNNNNNNNNNNNNNNNNNNNNNNNNNNNNNNNNNNNNNNNNNNNNNNNNNNNNNNNNNNNNNNNNNNNNNNNNNNNNNNNNNNNNNNNNNNNNNNNNNNNNNNNNNNNNNNNNNNNNNNNNNNNNNNNNNNNNNNNNNNNNNNNNNNNNNNNNNNNNNNNNUGAUAAGUGGUAUUUAUACACGCUUAUAGGCCUUCAUUUCCGCUUAAAUUGGUUGGUUGUACUUAAGUGUUUAGUGUCUUUUGAUGUGUUUUUAUUGUUUUUCUGUGCAGGUCACGAGUUGAGGUGAUGAAGUGAUUUUCUAUCAUUUUAGGUUGGUUUUGGUGCAUUAUUUGCAAGAAUAGAGAAUUGUGGAUUCAUCACGACUUGGGAUUUUGUGGGUAUAUCUUCUACAAACCCUCACGAGAGCACACUCGUCCACUAGAGCUAUCUAGGGGUUUAAAGGGCUUGUUGCAUGUGCUAAAUGCAACCGUGAUCACCUACGGAAGUGGUACUAGAAGCGAGGAAGGACAUGCACGCGAGAACGAGCGAGAAACGAAGAAACGGGGCUGUCAUCACAGACAGUAGCGCGCCCGCGCUACUUGUUAGCGCGCCCGCGCUACUAACUGCUGCAACUAGCGCGCCUGCGCUAUACUUAGCGCGGCCGCGCCCAGCAGAACUCCCCGGGCCGAUUUUUACAGCUUUUCUGAUGGAUUUUCGCAGCGGUCGAGGCCCGGUUGACUUGGUCAAUGCACUUUAUAAUUUCUCGUGUGUAAAACCCUAGCCGGAUAGAAGUAGUUUGAGUAGAAUAGAACAAUAUCGUAGUUUUCAGUUUAAUCAUUCAAGCACAAUAUCAGUUGUAUUAGAUCGUUCUUCGCGAGGAAGUGACAGUUUCGAGCGAGAUCGUGAACUUCAAUCUGUAACGUGUGAUCUUUAUUAUUAAUUCAAGCAUUUUUAUUCCGUUUAAUUCUUGUCUUUUAUAUAUAAUGCUUUCAUUAGAAACCAUGAUGUCGAUUAGUUCGAUUAUGAACUAACCGCCUUCAUGGGAUUCUAAUGGAUUUACCGAUGUAGUCUAGUAACGAAUAUUUAUUGCUUGAUUGUGUGACAUACGUUGAUUUCUUUGCAUGAGCCGUGCUUAUUCUUCUUAGGAGCGUAGCUAACUUCUAAGUUGUUUGUUAAUUCUUUCUGAAGCGAGAGUGGAUGAUUGAAUUUAGAACUAUGCCAUGUAAACAUAGGAUUAUGUGAAUGAAACAUAAUUUGUGGUAGACUUGAACUAUUUUUAUCACCCUGUGUAAUCACGAUAGACGACUUGCUAUUAAACCUCUCUGCUUACACUACCGCUAUAAAUAUAUGUCUUCUAAAUUGGUAUCAUCAAACCUUACAUUGAUGCUUUCAAUCAGCUUGUCAUCAUUGAUCAGAUAAACCCUGUAGGCCUUUGACUCUAAAGAAUAACCCAGAAAAAUGCCUUCUUCAACUUUAGCAUCAAACUUUCCCAAAUGCUCUUCUUUUAGAACAUAGCAUUUUGCACCAAACACAUGAAAGUAACUCAGUGAUGGUUUUCUGUUGGCCAUUACUUCAUAAGGAGUCUUAUCCAAGUCUUUGUUAAUCAGGGUACGAUUUUGAGUGUAGCAAGCAGUACUCACAGCUUCAGCCCAGAAAUAGAUUGGAAGUCUUGAUUGACUAAUCAUUGUCCUUGCAGCUUCAAUCAAGGUUCUGUUCUUCCUUUCUACGACACCAUUUUGUUGUGGAGUCCUUGGAGCUGAAUACUGACGAGAGAUGCCCUUAUCAGUACAGAAGUCAUUAAGAACAGCAUUACGAAAUUCUGUUCCAUUAUCUGAUCUGAUUGCUCUUACUGGCAAAUUUGCUUCCUUUUCAAUUUUCUUAAUAUGAUCAAUGAUGACGAGUGCUGCUUCAUCCUUUGAAUGUAAGAAUAAUACCCAUGUGUAUUGUUCGCAAAAAUCUACACGCAAGCGCACGUGAUCACAAGUAGAUAUUUAAGUUCCUACACGCAAGCGCACGUGAUCACAAGUAACAUAUUUGUUCGUUCCCACAGAGACUGGUGAAUUAAGAAUACGCACCUAUGCAACAAUGUAUGAGUAAUUUUCACUGCUAAGACAAUCAACAAGGGUGUGUUCUUUUAUACUAAUAACUAAAUUUACUAAUCAAAAUCAGAAUAGGAAAACACAUGAGAUUCUAACUUCAUUAUCGAAUUCAUCUAGAAUUGAAAUUACUGAUUAACAUGUGACUGUUGAUCCUAAUCAGACAACACGAAAGUAAUACAUGCCAACUCUCGUUGCACACAUAUCAUACCAAUCAAAAUCCACAAUUAAGACAAAAAUCUCAUGGACACCAACAAAGCUCAGACCCUAUAUCUCUAUAGCGGUAGUGUAAGCAGAGAGGUUUAAUAACAGGUCGUCUAUCGUGAUUACCCAGGGUGAUAAAAAUAGUUCAAGUCUACCACAAAUUAUGUUUCAUUCACAUAAUCCUAUGUUUACAUGGCAUAGUUCUAAAUUCAAUCAUCCACUCUCGCUUCAGAAAGAAUUAACAAACAACUUAGAAGUUAGCUACGCUUCUAAGAAGAAUAAGCACGGCGCAUGCAAAGAAAUCAACGUACGUCACAAAAUCAAGCAAUUAAUAUUCGUUACUAGACUACAUCGAUAAAUCCAUUAGAAUCCCAUGAAGGCGGUUAGUUCAUAAUCGAACUAAUCGACAUCAUGAGUUCUAACGAAAACAUGAUAAAUAAAAGACGAGAAUUAAGCGGAAUAAAAAUGCUUAAUCACACAAGUAAUAUUCUUCACUAAACUACAUCGAUAAAUCCAUUAGAAUCCCAUGAAGGCGGUUAGUUCAUAAUCGAACUAAUCGACAUCAUGGGUUCUAAUGAAAACAUGAUAAAUAAACGACGAGAAUUAAACGGAAUAAAAGUACUUGAAUUAAUAAUAAAGAACACAACGUUACAGAUUUGAUGUUCACGAUCUCGCUCGAAACUGUCACUUCCUCGCAAAGAACGAUCCGAUACAACUGAUAAUGUGCUUCGAUAGGAAUAAAAAUACUUGAAUUAAUAAUAAAGAACACAACGUUACAGAUUUGAUGUUCACGAUCUCGCUCGAAACUGUCACUUCCUCGCGAAGAACGAUCCAAUACAAACUGAUAAUGUGCUUGAUUACAAAAGAAAACUAACUACGAUAUUGUUUCGAUAUUCUAACUACUUGGAGGCUAGGGUUUUACACAUGAGAAAUUAAAAUACAUUGACCAAGUCAACCGGGCCUCGACCGCUGCUAAAAUCCAUCAGAAAAGCUGCAAAAAUCGGCCCGGAACACUUCUGCUGGGCGCGGCCGCGCUAAACUAGCGCAGGCGCGCUAGUGGGCUUUAAUGUAGCGCGGGCGCGCUAGAAGUUAGCGCGGGGGCGCUACUUUCUGACUUUGGACUAGCGCGGGCGCGCUAAGAGUUAGCGCGGGGGCGCUACUUUCUGCCACUGGCAGCCUGUUUCUUCGUUUUCAGCUCGUUCUCGCGUGCAUGCCCUUCCUCGCUCUAGUACCACUUCCGUAGGUGAUCACGGUUGCAUUUAGCAUAUGCAACAAGCCCUUUAAACCCCUAGAUAGCUC
rnacentral:lncRNA from 1 species